rnacentral:lncRNA from 13 species
CAGUUUGGGGGCCCUCCUCAGCCUUUUUAAGUUUCUUUUUAAUGUUAGUUGCAGACUGAGAGAUGAAAUGUGUCGUUAGAACUGUAGCUCACAGUAAAGAGGCCAUGUCCAGCCAUGUAUGAAGGAUCAUAGCAUUAGUUAAUCGGUCGAGGAAGGCAGUGGGGUUUUCAGUAGGACCCUGAGUUAUUUCCCUUAACUUACCAUAAUUAACUACCUUUUGGGCUGAGCUUUGCAUGUCCGCUAGGAGGCACUAUAGCAUUUGGUCUCGGUGGUGGUGGCCAUCUUGACCAGUUUGAUAAUUCCAAUUAGGGUCAGCCUCAGGGACUGCCACUGCACCUACUGGUAUCUGAUUGUCUGUGAGAUGUACCUGAUAAGCAUGAGCCUGAGCCACCAUAAGGAUGUGGUCACGCUCAUCUGGAGGGAGGGUGGAGGACAGAAUUACAUUGGUAUCAUGUCAGGUGAGGUCAUAAGCCUGGGUGAGGUAGCGGAAUUCUUUGGUGUAAGCAGUAGGAUUGGUGGAAAAUAACCCUAGGCAUUUCUCAAUAGUGGAUAGAUCAGAGAGGGACAAAGGAACAUGUACUUAGACAACGCUUUCCACUCCGGUGACCUUGCACAGGGGGCAAAGAAGGGAGGUUUCAUCAUUAGGAGCACAGUGCAACCGUGCAAGACAUGCCUCCUUCUUCUUCACCUUUCACCAUAAGUUUCCUGAGGCCUCCCCAGCUUCCUGUACACACUGCAGAACCGAUUCACAGUUGUUUUAAUCCACAAAUACCAAAGACAUGGAUAUGGACAGCCAACUAUGGUAAUUUGGAGAUGCAACAAGUAUAUUCAGAGGUAGCUGUGGAGUAAUAUUUGUCAGCCAAUGAUGCAUUAUCAUUUGAAAGCAUUAUCAACAUGUCACUUAAAGCCUCUCUCAAUCAUAAUGUCUUUUUUAAUUAUUAUUUUUAAAUUUUGUGGGUAAUUAAGUGCAUAUAAUUGUGGGAUAUAUAAGUUGUUUUCACAGUUCUCCUUCGAGUUACAGACAAUCCCAUUACACUCUAAAUUAUUUUAAAAUGUACAAUUAUUACUGACAAUAGUCACUGUAUUGUGCUAUCAAAUACUAGGUCUUAUUCAUUUUUUAAAAAUUUUUUGUACCCAUUAACCAUCCUCACCUCCCCCUAUCCCCCAGAUCAAGCAAUGGGCAGAAGAUCUGAAUAAUCAUUUCUCAAAAGAAGUCAUAAUUUCUUUUGAUAACAUCAACCCACAUGCCUUGACACAUUUCCCAGCUCAUUCACUGAGAUAUGGAAAUCUCAACAAAUGAGGAGUCAUUGAAAC